rnacentral:lncRNA from 1 species
UUUUAAUUGUGUUUCCUGCCACCUUUCCUACCGUUUUGGUGUUUACAGGUCCAUGAAAGAACAGCUUCAGACAAUUCAGCGGUUGUUCCUACCCGGGCAGUGGCCAGAGCGGUGGGGUCUGCAGAGCGAUCUCCGGGGUGAGCAGAAGGCUCCAGGCUUCCCCCAAGAAACGAUACUCAGAAGGAGGCAGUGGCUACAUGAACAGAGAAACAUGAAUGAAGGACAUGAUAUUGGGCAAAGAAUCAAUCCCACCAUGAUCUUCUUCAGUCACGCCGUCUUGUGA